UACAGAGGGGGCAAGCGUUGUUCGGAAUCACUGGGCGUAAAGCGCGCGUAGGCGGCUUAUCAAGUCAGGGGUGAAAUGCCAAGGCUCAACCUUGGAACUGCCUUUGAAACUGAUAAGCUAGAGUAUUGGAGGGGAGUGCGGAAUUUCUAAUGUAGCGGUGAAAUGCGUAGAUAUUAGAAGGAACACCGGUGGCGAAGGCGGCACUCUGGACAAUUACUGACGCUGAGGCGCGAAAGCGUGGGGAUCAAACAGG
rnacentral:rRNA from 1 species